rnacentral:misc_RNA from 1 species
GCAGCGACAACGUCUCCUGCACGCCUCUUCAUUGUUNGGCACAAGCCCGGCUUGUCCGCUAUCGGUUUUCCUGUAUUGCAUACCUAUCNCGACGGCAUUCGGUUGGCUAAAAGAGUCCCAUCUCCGCCUUGAGUUGCUGCUCCGUGCGAGCGAGCGGCUUCGGGUGGAUCUCAUGGCAUUCAUCGUGUUUCGGACCGCAUUCACUCAUUUUGGUGUUUGGGUAUACGACCCACGAUGCAUUGCCCGUUGUCUCGGGUACGGAAUAUCGGGUGGGUACGAGGCCUUUGGCCUCGGAUCACCACACGAAUGCGUUCUACGCUUUUUGCGAACGACGGUCGGUUCGAUCUUUGGCUGGGCUCUCGUGGCUCGGUUGGAGUCGCGCCGACGUCGGAGAGGGAUGCUACC